UACGGGGGGUGCGAGCGUUGUCCGGAAUCACUGGGCGUAAAGGGAGCGUAGGCGGGUUCUUAAGUUAGGUGUUUAAUCCCGGGGCCCAACCCCGGACCGGCACUUAAAACUGGGAAUCUUGAAUAGUGGAGAGGUCGGUGGAAUUGGGGGUGUAGCGGUGGAAUGCGUAGAGAUCCCCAAGAACACCAGUUGCGAAGGCGGCCGACUGGACACAUAUUGACGCUGAGGCUCGAAAGCAUGGGGAGCAAACAGG
rnacentral:rRNA from 1 species